GGAUUGCGNAUGGGGGNACCCUGACGCAGCCANGCCGCGUGUGUGAAGAAGGCCUUCGGGUUGUAAAGCACUUUAAGUGGGGAGAAAGGCCCGUUGGUUAAUAGCCAGCGGGAUUGAUGUUACCCACAGAAUAAGCACCGGCUAACUACGUGCCAGCAGCCGCGGUAAUACGUAGGGUGCGAGCGUUAAUCGGAAUUACUGGGCGUAAAGCGUGCGCAGGCGGUUUGAUAAGACAGGCGUGAAAUCCCCGAGCUCAACUUGGGAAUGGCGCUUGUGACUGUCAGGCUAGAGUAUGUCAGAGGGGGGUAGAAUUCCACGUGUAGCAGUGAAAUGCGUAGAGAUGUGGAGGAAUACCGAUGGCGAAGGCAGCCCCCUGGGACGUCACUGACGCUCAUGCACGAAAGCGUGGGGAGCAAACAGGAUUAGAUACCCUGGUAGUCCACGCCCUAAACGAUGUCAACUAGUUGUUGGGGAUUCAUUUCUUCAGUAACGUAGCUAACGCGUGAAGUUGACCGCCUGGGGAGUACGGUCGCAAGAUUAAAACUCAAAAGAAUUGACGGA
rnacentral:rRNA from 1 species